CUUCAACGUUUUUAUUUUAAAUUAUGUUGAUUUUUAGCAAUUAUUACGAAUUAAAAUUACGUUAAACGAAACGCAUUUCAAAACACCAAUCAGCGUUCAGUGACGUCACUCGUGCUGUGUCAACUUUUAGAAGUUAACUUUGCGAUUAAUAGGCAGUAGUGCUUUAUUUACGUAUUAUUUACGUUUUAAAUAAAAAUGGAAGUUAGAUUUAAUAAAACAGACUCCAAAAAUUUACCAAAAAAAAAUUUUUUGUUGUGAGUGCAGAGUUUUCAAGUGUAGAAAUGAAAGGCACUAAAUUAGUACGGUAUGCAUGAAUGUUUUUAAACGUUGUUUGCAUUUUAUUCAGCAAUUUCUAAACAUAGCAGUUAUAAUUUAGCUCAACGAGAGAAUCUUACGGCGAUAACGCAAUCGGUUUUGUGCAAAUUAAAAGAGAUGGAGAUGGAUUAAUUAUGUACAGUGAAAAGUCGAGUUACUCCAGAGCACAAAGUACGAAAAGAAGGUUAUCGUGUUACAGCUGUAAUAAAUGUAGCAUAAAGCUUAGUUCUGUCCUGCCAAUGCGAAGAUUGUGCAGCUUCUGCAGGUGGGUGCAAGCAUCCUGCUGCACUAUUGCUAUGGGGCACAGAAGGUCUGAGCAGCCUCCAAUUACGUCCGUCACAUGCUAUUGGAAGAAGUCGAAAUUAUCUACAUGAGCUUCUGGAAAAUCUGUCAUAAAAGCCAAAGAAAUGGGUCAAGUUUCAGUCAAUCACAGUUUCUCUCAAGUAAGCAGCUUUUUUAUUUAAAGAGAUUGAAAAGAAGUUAAAUGUGUGUUACAAUAAUAACUGCAUAUUUUUAGGUGGAUAUUUUAUAAGAAUUUGUAGAUGCUGUCAAUAAAAAAGAUUGUCGGGGAAGUAUUCUUCGCUACUUUCAAUAAGACAAGCAUUCAUAAGGUGUGUUCAAGCUUGAUUGGAAUGUUGGACUCUCCAGAAUCAUUUCUUGAAGCAUUAUCAAAGCAAAUGACCACUGAUAAUGUAAAUAUGGUAUUUUACCACCACCAAACAUCAAAGUGAUUCACCAAUGUGGUUUGAGUUGAGGUAAGUAGUAAGACUUCUAGCUUAGUUUUGUUUAUUGUAUUUAUCACUAAAAUACCAUGAAUAAAAAAAAUAUUUUGACAAAAUAAACUCAUUAUCAUACUCACAUAACAUAAACUUGAUUGGCAUAUUAGCUGUAUAUAAGUUUAUUUUUCUAUUUUACAGGUACGGCAGAAUUACUGGCUCAACUCUUUAUGAAGCCGCUCACUGUAGAACUAUAAAUGGUUCCCUUCUGAACGCAAUUAUGGGAGAACAUUCAAAAUUUACUUCCAUUGCGAUGAGUAGAGGGAAAAUACUAGAAAAAAGUUCUCAAAGUAGUAAGCAAGAAAGAAAAGAUUGAAAUUGAAGAAGCUGGACUACUUCUUAAUGCCGAGUAUCCUAUUUUUGGAGCAACACCUGACGGGCUUACUGAAAAUUAUACAAUAGAAGUCAAAUAUCCUUCAACCGAAGCUGCCAUACUUUCCUAUGUGAAAUACAAUAAAAUAACACCAAAAUGUUGUGUGCCAUAUGGUAACAGCAUUGUAUCUGUAAUGAAUAUUGCAAAGAAAUUCUGGAUAGAUGCUGUAUUUCCGAAAUUAAAAGAUAUAUAUAAGCACAUUUUUUUGUUUUUCAAAUAUUUCAUAAAUUUAUUAAAUAAAACUAUGCUUCGAAAAUAUUGUUUUUUAUUCAAUUUUAAUUAAAGGUGAUUAACAAGUGCACAACAAAUGAUUAUACUAUAGUCUAUUUGGGGUAUGAGAAAAUGAUCUACACAGGCAUUUAGAAACUUUGUUAAAGUAGAUGGACACAUAGGCACAAAACAUGAGUCAACACGACUUUUUAUCCGAAUUUUUUCGGUAUUAUGUCUUGUGAUCACUUGAUGUGGAUGGAUAUUCCAUUUUAAAUUAUUACAAAAAACUUAGUGGAAAGUCGAGAAAAUUUGCAAUUUAUGAUAAUCAACCAGUGUUUCCACUAUAAAAAUUUUCUUUCCCCAUGCCUCAAUUCCGAUUUCCCCUUUUCAGAACUUUUUUCCCCUCAAAAAUUAUUUUGCUGUAGUUUUGGCACUUUUGUUGUAACUAAAAGUUUAAUUUUUAAAUAUAUUUUUUAUAAAUAUAUACGGGACAAAUUACACUGAUUGAGUUAGCCUCGAAGUAAGUUCGAGACUGUGUUACGAGAUACUAACUCAACGAUACUUUGUAUAUUUUAUAAUAAAUACUUAUAUAGAUAAACAUCCAAGACCCAAACCAAUCAGAAAAAGUUCUUUUCUCAUUAUGCCCUGACCGGGAUUCGAACCCGGGACCUCUGGUGUCACAGACACGCGUACUACCGCUGCGCCAAAGAGGCCGUCGAUAUAAUUUUAUAUAUAAUAAAAAUUAAUAUAUGAUUACCUAAAAUUUCCCCUUUUAUAGUAUUUCCCCUUUUUCUUCCCCUCUGGACCCUGAUUACCCCUUAAAAGGAGAAUUUCCCCUCAUUGUGGAAACACUGUAAUCAACGAAGGCAAGCACGACCAGUGUCAGACACGUGUGACGUCAUUGGAAGUGUAGGUCCGUUUUGGCGCGAAAAUUUAAACGAUCAGUUUAAAGCCGCAUUUUUUUACGAUAAAUUAGAUUGUUUUAAUUUUUUUAAUAUGUUAAGACCUAUUUUACAUGGAAUUCUUUAAAAUGAAAUCAAAACUAAAAUUAUUGCAUGUUCCCU